rnacentral:rRNA from 1 species
GACGUAGGGCGCGAGCGUUGUCCGGAUUUAUUGGGCGUAAAGAGCUCGUAGGCGGCUUGUCGCGUCGUCCGUGAAAACCCACAGCUCAACUGUGGGCUUGCGGUCGAUACGGGCAGGCUAGAGUUCGGUAGGGGAGACUGGAAUUCCUGGUGUAGCGGUGAAAUGCGCAGAUAUCAGGAGGAACACCGGUGGCGAAGGCGGCGAUCUGGGUAGAUACUGACGCUGGAGGUGCGAAAGCCGUGGGGAGCAAACAGG